UAGCUGCUUUAUGCAGUGCUUGUGCAGGC
rnacentral:piRNA from 1 species